rnacentral:rRNA from 1 species
UACGGGGGGGGCAAGCGUUGUUCGGAAUUACUGGGCGUAAAGGGCUCGUAGGCGGCCAACUAAGUCAGACGUGAAAUCCCCAGGCUUAACCUGGGAACUGCGUCUGAUACUGGAUGGCUUGAGAUUGGGAGAGGGAUGCGGAAUUCCAGGUGUAGCGGUGAAAUGCGUAGAUAUCUGGAGGAACACCGGUGGCGAAGGCGGCAUCCUGGACCGGUAUUGACGCUGAGGCGCGAAAGCCAGGGGAGCAAACGGG